GCGGGUGUAGCUCAAUGGUAGAGCUCAAACCUUCCAAGUUUGUGACGAGGGUUCGAUUCCCUUCACCCGCUCUA
rnacentral:tRNA from 1 species